rnacentral:rRNA from 1 species
AUUGAACGCUGGCGGCAGGCUUAACACAUGCAAGUCGAGCGGGGGAAGGUAGCUUGCUACCGGACCUAGCGGCGGACGGGUGAGUAAUGCUUAGGAAUCUGCCUAUUAGUGGGGGACAACACAUCGAAAGGGAUGCUAAUACUGCAUACGUCCUACGGGCGAAAGCGGGGGAUCUUCGGACCUUGCGCUAAUAGAUGAGCCUAAGUCGGAUUAGCUAGUUGGUGGGGUAAAGGCCUACCAAGGCGACGAUCUGUAGCGGGUCUGAGAGGAUGAUCCGCCGCACUGGGACUGAGACACGGCCCAGACUCCUACGGGAGGCAGCAGUGGGGAAUAUUGGACAAUGGGGGGAACCCUGAUCCAGCCAUGCCGCGUGUGUGAAGAAGGCCUUAUGGUUGUAAAGCACUUUAAGCGAGGAGGAGGCUACUCUAGUUAAUACCUAGGGAUAGUGGACGUACUCGCAGAAUAAGCACCGGCUAACUCUGUGCCAGCCGCCGCGGUAA